UGUAGCUUCAGGCAGUGUCAGUGCUGCACAGAUGUUUCUGGAUUCUGAGUCAUGGGGAAGGCAAAAGAAUUGUCAAAGGAUCUGCAAGAAAAGGUGCAUGUCUUUGGAGGUGGGAGGAAGCCGGAGUACCCGGAGGGAACCCACGCAGUCACGGAGAGGACAUGCAAACUCCACACAGAGCCGGGAUUGAACUCACGACUACUUCGUAUUGUGAGGCAGACACACUAACCCCUCUGCCACCGUGCUGUAUUCUGCAAUUCUUUUAAGGUAUUUUAUUAUGAAAGACUGUCUAAAUGCAGACUGUUGACUCAAUAGAACUGUGAGUGCCGAUGGGCGGGGCGAUCUCCGGGAGCACAUGACUCCCUACACACCUGCAGCUCGUUUGGGCUAAUCAGCCGGCUUCUUAAGCAACACUCUCUCUGUCUCCAGUGCUGGAUUAUUCUCUUUGGCUUCAGCAUCUCACGAGUGCUCCCAGAGAUCUCCUGCCUCUCGCCACAUGUUUAUGCUCCCGUGUUGGAAUUGUGCUUUUGUGAGUUUGGUGCCUUGUUGCCUUUUUUGUUAAACUUUUGCGCUCGCCUUUUUCCCAUAUUAAUGGUGAUUUUCUGUUCAGCCAUUUUCUGUUGUCACUUUUCCCCUGAGGAAUUUGCAGUUGAUACCUUUUUGCUACAUUCUUUGAUGAACUGUGUUUUUGUUGUUACUUUGUUA